rnacentral:misc_RNA from 1 species
UGGUUCUGGCAUCGAUGAAGAACGCAGCGAAAUGCGAUAAGUAAUGUGAAUUGCAGAAUUCAGUGAAUCAUCGAAUCUUUGAACGCAUAUUGCGCCCGCCGGUAUUCCGGCGGGCAUGCCUGUUCGAGCGUCAUUUCAACCCUCAGGCCUCGCCUGGUGUUGGGGCUCCUGCGCACUGCAGGCCCUCAAAGGCAGCGGCGGGUGCGCCUACGAACCGAACGCAGUAGUUUUCUCUCGUUCUGGUCCUGCGGGCGUGCUCCGGCCGUUAAACCCCCUUAUGCUUCCAUGGUUGACCUCGGAUCAGGUAGGAAUACCCGCUGA